rnacentral:lncRNA from 1 species
UCCAAGAGCCGAGGUGCCAUCAUGGUUGCAAAAGAGGGCAGGUCCUACUAAUAGGAAAUAAAACCACCACCAUUUGAUGUCUAAUUUUGGAAAAUGCUUUGACACUCCACUCUGAGGCACUAUCUCUAUUGGAAUGUAUUAAUAACUGGUGCAACAAGUAGAAGAGAAUCACUUGGCUUUAUAUUUUCAAAGGCUAGAGUUUGGAUUCCACCAAAUCCUUCAUAAUUUGCAGUAAUGGCUCAGACAAUAUUUAUUGAUUUUGGCCUUCAUAUUUGGCCCUUGAUAAAUUAAGAAGAAACAACAGAAUCAUGCACCC